UGGGGAAUAUUGCACAAUGGGCGCAAGCCUGAUGCAGCCAUGCCGCGUGUAUGAAGAAGGCCUUCGGGUUGUAAAGUACUUUCAGCGGGGAGGAAGGGAGUAAAGUUAAUACCUUUGCUCAUUGACGUUACCCGCAGAAGAAGCACCGGCUAACUCCGUGCCAGCAGCCGCGGUAAUACGGAGGGUGCAAGCGUUAAUCGGAAUUACUGGGCGUAAAGCGCACGCAGGCGGUUUGUUAAGUCAGAUGUGAAAUCCCCGGGCUCAACCUGGGAACUGCAUCUGAUACUGGCAAGCUUGAGUCUCGUAGAGGGUGGUAGAAUUCCAGGUGUGGCGGUGAAAUGCGUAGAGAUCUGGAGGAAUACCUGUGGCGAAGGCGGCCCCCUGGACGAAGACUGACGCUCAGGUGCGAAAGCGUGGGGAGCAAACAGG
rnacentral:rRNA from 1 species